rnacentral:tRNA from 1 species
GCAAUGGUGAUUUAGCGGUAGAAUUUUCACCUUUCAUGAGGGAGUCCUAGGUUCGACUCCUGGCCAAUGUA